rnacentral:rRNA from 1 species
UGGAGAGUUUGAUCCUGGCUCAGGACGAACGCUUGGCGGCGUGCCUAAUACAUGCAAGUCGAGCGGAGUUGAUGAGGUGCUUGCACCUCUGAURCUUAGCGGCGGACGGGUGAGUAACACGUGGGUAACCUGCCURUAAGACUGGGAUAACAUUCGGAAACGAAUGCUAAUACCGGAUACGCGAUAUGGUCGCAUGACUGAAUCGGGAAAGAUGGAGCAAUCUAUCACUUAYAGAUGGACCCGCGGCGCAUUAGCUAGUUGGUGAGGUAACGGCUUCACCAAGGCGACGAUGCGUAGCCGACCUGAGAGGGUGAUCGGCCACACUGGGACUGAGACACGGCCCAGACUCCUACGGGAGGCAGCAGUAGGGAAUCUUCCGCAAUGGACGAAAGUCUGACGGAGCAACGCCGCGUGAGUGAUGAAGGUUUUCGGAUCGUAAAGCUCUGUUGCCAGGGAAGAAUGCYUGGGAGAGUAACUGCUCYCAAGGUGACGGUACCUGAGAAGAAAGCCCCGGCUAAACUACGUGCCAGCAGCCGCGGUA